rnacentral:pre_miRNA from 1 species
UACCCGUAGCAUCUGUAUGUCUCAGUACAUUGAAGAAAUGCAUUUGCUGUGGGUGAC